CUCCCCGGAGUUAAAAGCAUGGUACCCUAUGGGCUCGUUCUGUCCGGACGUACCCCACUACACCUCUCACCAGAAAGCCACAUUGUUGAGAUGCCUACUAGGAAUGCUCCUGGAGUCUUAGGAAGGUUUUCGCUUGAUUGGCUCACUCCAGAAAUGUCCGAACUCAAGAAUUGUUCUAAGCACUUGGGAUUCUGGCACUGGUGAUACAAACUCUGCCAACAUGAAGAAAGGAAAAAAACAAUCCCCACUCUUAAGGAGCUUACAUUCUAAUGAGGAAAACAACAUGUAAAUAAAUAGGUAGAUACAAAAUGGAUGGAAGACAACCUUAAGGGAGGAAGGAAGCUCCAGGCCUUCCUCAUCCCUACCAGCCUGUCAGCUGUUUGUCCCCAGAAUAAAUUCAUAGCUUCUUUAAAAUUCUAUUGGGUAGAGUUUCAAAUUUGAGCAAACACUCAAAAUGUGGCCCAGUUAGCCCUUCCUCAUUCUUCCAGUUGGUCCAGCUGAAAGGAGCUCACAAACCCUUGCUGUGCUUUUAUUAUAAUUUAAAAUGCAUUGUGUGCCAUUGCUUUCCAACAUCCAGCCUGCUUCCUGCCUCUAAGAAGCCCAGCCAACAGAAUUUUCUGUUUCCUGGCAAAGGAAAGACCAGUUGAUUUUCAACAAUUUAAAGGGACUUUCUCUCUGAGUUGUUAUGGCAAAUUAUA